rnacentral:lncRNA from 1 species
GUUCUUUGAGCCAUGCAAGCUCCUGGGUGUCCCAAGGGACCAUAGCAGAUGGUUUAGGACCCUCUUCCUGCUCCUCAUAUAAGAGUAGAAUGGCAGAAUUGGUGGCUUCAGCAGGACAAGACAUGACCAGUCAUCAUAUGAAUGUAAGCCACACUAAAAAUACCGAGGAACUGUUGGUCCCAGUAGGACCUAGGCUUGCAUUGAAACACUAAUGAAGCUUCAAGUGAAUUAAGAUAUAGUGAGAGAUUCAGCAUGCAGUCAAACCAGCAUUUGCUCAGGACUUACUCUCAGGAGCAGGGGAGAGAAAAAGCAUUGACUGCUGUUUGGGACAGUCAGCUUUUCAGAAAAGGCUGUAUGUUCUUUAAUGUUGCUUUCUAGAGGUUAGAAGUAUUUUUGCUGGUAGUUCUACUGUUUUGGGGACUGUCUUACCACAAAGGUAAGUCAAAAUAUAAACUACAAAUGUCAAUGUCAAGAGCAACAAAAAUACUGAGACUUCCUUUUGUCUGCAGUCUUGAGAAAGGGGAAAAAAACCAAAACAAAACAGUCAUGAAAGAAGACUUCAAACCAAAUGACAUGUGUUUGAGAAAAGAGUCUACCUGAGCUCUAUAGCUACUGUUGCCCUACUAAAAGGGCAACAGAUAGGCUGAAAACAACCUGAAAAUCCCAAGCAGGAGGUGAUCCUAAGAAGAAACUGAUGCUGGGUCUCUCACCGGGUUUAACUCUGAUCCUGUCAGCUGGAGCUACCAUGACAACCAUCCCAGGCAUAAGGUCCUCCAACACCAGGAGAUACUCUCCAGUGAUUACUUGAUCUGCUAUAAAGCCAUUUUGUACUCUGAGAGUGCUAAAGAACAGCUUUAAUAUACUGGUGAAUCAGACCGAGAAGCUAUUUAGCUGCAGAGAGUACAGGCAAGUACAUAUAAAUUAUCUUUUCCCAGGGAAACACAGUCUCAAAUUCUCCAUUUCCCCCCACACAGAGGGAUGUUUUUAAUAUUCUCUUGGUGGUUAUUACACAAAAGGCUCCUGAGCACCAUCAGCAUUUCUGACAAGCGCAAAGGAGAUAAAACAAAGGACAUAAAACACAGACAACUCUAACAGACUGCUAGUGUACACAUCAAUAAAGUCUGUGGAUAAACUCCA